GCAUGUGCAUACAAUUACAUGUGACUAUACAUGUAUGUGGACAUGUAGGUGUGCAUGUGUGAAGAUAUUGGCAUGGCUGCUAGGAUGUGUUUCUAGGAUCAUGUGAGUCUUGUGCUUGCUCAUAUGUCGGCUUUCAUGUAUACAGGCUUCUCUGGUGAAUCCAGUGGUUUAGUGAAACAGGACACUAAACCAACUGAGUGAAGAGACUUCGGUUUUUGUUCAACUAUGCAGGAAGUCCAACAGCCCACCUUCACUGCUGAUUAUGAAAGCUUUGGGAAUCGCACAUCCUCAGGCAGCCCAGAGGUCCACCAUAUUGGUGCCAGACGGAGUCAACACCUAAUGGGUUUAACCCUACUAUAACUCAGAACUCUCAACUCAAGCAAAUCCACCAGCUUCAGCCUCCUCAGGGCAGGGGCUAGAGACAUGCACCAUCGUGCCUGGCAAGAUAAUUCAUGUAAAGUGCUUUGGGAAUCUAAAGUGAUAUAUGAAGGUUAAAUAUUAUACAUACACACGUGUGUGUGUGUAUAAAGCUUUGUUAUCAUUUA